GUGGCCUCCUCCGUGGCCCCCACUUUUGACAGCACAGCCUGCUUGGCUCCUGAGAAGUGCCCACGUGGCACACCUCACCCCUGCCCCUGCUCUGCCUGCCACCUCUCAUGGCACCAAAGGAGCCUUUGUCCCUUCCUCAUGGGGGCUCUCAGCAGAUGCUGACGUUCUGACUGAAACAGAUUUGUAGAAUCAUGGAUUUUGAAGUGGGGACCCAGGUCCCAGUGUUUCAGUGGGUCUUUAAAAAAGAGAGAAAGGGAGAGAGAGAUGGAGAGAGAGAGAGAGAAAGUGAGCAACAGCACGAGAGGUCAUUCCGGACUCCUGACGCCGCCAGUCCCGCGGUGAGACGUGAGCGCCAUUGGCGUCCGUGGCCUCUGUUUCCGUGGCAACCUAGUAACCAUUAAUUUUCAAUUAAAGGAGACAAAAAGCUCGAUGACAGCUCCAGGUCUGCUGAAGAUGUCAAGAAUCUGUAUUAAUAUACAGCAAGAGAGCAUAAUUGUGUGUCCAUCUUCCAGAGCAGCGAAAAAUGGAGGGAUAAUUACCAGCUCGAAAGCCACUCUGUAAUUUAGUUCUUACUGUCACCACAGCCCUACACAUUAGCAUAAAUUAAAAGCAGAGUUUAUUGUUAUCAAAGUGCAUUG
rnacentral:lncRNA from 1 species